UGAUGUCUAGCAUGCGAGUCAUUGUAGCAUACAAGGCAUACGGCUCAGUAACGCGUAGUCAACCUAACCUAUGGACGGGAAUAACCUCGGGAAACUGAGAAUAAUGCCCGAUAGAACAUUAUGCCUGGAAUGGUUUAUGUUCCAAAUGAUUUAUCGCCAUAGGAUGGGACUGCGGCCUAUCAGUUUGUUGGUGAGGUAAUGGCCCACCAAGACUAUUACAGGUACGGGCUCUGAGAGGAGUAGCCCGGAGAUGGGUACUGAGACACGGACCCAGGCCCUAUGGGGCGCAGCAGGCGAGAAAACUUUGCAAUGUGCGAAAGCACGACAAGGUUAAUCCGAGUGAUUUCUGCUAAAGAGAUCUUUUGUUAGUCCUAGAAACACUAACGAAUAAGGGGUGGGCAAGUUCUGGUGUCAGCCGCCGCGGUAAAACCAGCACCUCAAGUGGUCAGGAUGAUUAUUGGGCCUAAAGCAUCCGUAGCCGGCUCUGUAAGUUUUCGGUUAAAUCUGUACGCUCAACGUACAGGCUGCCGGGAAUACUGCAGAACUAGGGAGUGGGAGAGGUAGACGGUACUCGGUAGGAAGUGGUAAAAUGCUUUGAUCUAUCGAUGACCACCUGUGGCGAAAGCGGUCUACCAGACACGUCCGACGGUGAGGGAUGAAGCUGGGGGAGCAACCGGAUUAGAUACCCCGGGUAGUCCAGCUGUAACUAUGCAACUCAGUGAUGCAUCACCUGUGCGAUGCAGUGCUGCCAGG
rnacentral:rRNA from 1 species